CGGUGAAUACGUUCCCGGACCUUGCACACACCGCCCGUCAAGCCAUGGAAGCCGGUGUACCUAAAGUCGGUAACCGCAAGGAGCCGCCUAGGGUAAACUGGUGACUGGGGCU
rnacentral:rRNA from 1 species